ensembl:misc_RNA Metazoa_SRP Metazoan signal recognition particle RNA
GCCAGGCGCGGUGGCCCACGCCUGUAAUCCCAGCACUUUGGGAGGCCGAGAUGGGUGGAUCACCUGAGGUCGGGAGUUUGAGACCAGCCUGACCAACAUGGAGAAACCCCAUCUCUA